CCUCCGUAGGUGAACCUGCGGAGGGAUCAUUACCGAGUUUACAACUCCCAAACCCCUGUGAACAUACCUAUACGUUGCCUCGGCGGAUCAGCCCGCGCCCCGUAAAACGGGACGGCCCGCCCGAGGACCCCUAAACUCUGUUUUUAGUGGAACUUCUGAGUAAAACAAACAAAUAAAUCAAAACUUUCAACAACGGAUCUCUUGGUUCUGGCAUCGAUGAAGAACGCAGCAAAAUGCGAUAAGUAAUGUGAAUUGCAGAAUUCAGUGAAUCAUCGAAUCUUUGAACGCACAUUGCGCCCGCCAGUAUUCUGGCGGGCAUGCCUGUUCGAGCGUCAUUUCAACCCUCAAGCUCAGCUUGGUGUUGGGACUCGCGGUAACCCGCGUUCCCCAAAUCGAUUGGCGGUCACGUCGAGCUUCCAUAGCGUAGUAAUCAUACACCUCGUUACUGGUAAUCGUCGCGGCCACGCCGUAAAACCCCAACUUCUGAAUGUUGACAAUCGGAUCAGAUAGGAAUACCCGCUGAACUUAAGCAUAUCAAU
rnacentral:rRNA from 1 species